rnacentral:rRNA from 1 species
AAACGUAGGGGGCAAGCGUUAUCCGGAAUUACUGGGCGUAAAGCGCAUGUAGGCGGUUUGCUAAGAUAGCCGUGAAAGCUCCCGGCUUAACUGGGAGAGGUCGGUUGUGACUGGCAAACUUGAGUAAGGUAGAGGAGAGCGGAAUUCCCGGUGUAGUGGUGGAAUGCGUAGAGAUCGGGAGGAACACCAGUGGCGAAAGCGGCUCUCUGGGCCUUUAACUGACGCUCAGAUGCGAAAGCGUGGGGAGCAAACGGGAUUAGAAACCCCAGUAGUCC